UACGAAGGGGGCUAGCGUUGCUCGGAAUUACUGGGCGUAAAGCGCACGUAGGCGGAUCUUUAAGUCAGGGGUGAAAUCCUGGAGCUCAACUCCAGAACUGCCUUUGAUACUGAGGAUCUUGAGUUCGGAGGAGGUGGUAGUGGUGAACUGGCGAGUGUAGAGGUGAAAUUCGUAGAUAUUCGCAAGAACACCAGUGGCGAAGGCGGCUCACUGGCCCGAUACUGACGCUGAGGUGCGAAAGCGUGGGGAGCAACAGGG
rnacentral:rRNA from 1 species